UAGCCGUAAACGAUACUCGCUAGGUGUCGGCCAUGGUGCGACCGUUGUCGGUGCCGUAGGGAAGCCGUGAAGCGAGCCACCUGGGAAGUACGGCCGCAAGGCUGAAACUUAAAGGAAUUGGCGGGGGAGCACCACAACGGGUGGAGCUUGCGGUUUAAUUGGAUUCAACGCCGGAAAUCUUACCGGGACCGACAGCAACAUGAAGGCCAGGCUGAAGACUUGCCGGAUUAGCUGAGAGGUGGUGCAUGGCGUAGUCGUGU
rnacentral:rRNA from 1 species